UAUAAUGCAUAGUGUGUACCAGGCAAUUGUUUAAAUUCGUCUGUCCUCAAAAAGUUCUGGGAAAGGGCUGCCCUGUUAAUAUUUAAUAUGUACUUACUGGCAUUUAUUUACAGGUUUUUCUGAGCUCAAACAACCUCUCUUGGAUCAUUGCUUUCUUUGUUACAUUUGUGUGCAAAAGUUCACAGAAACUGAACUAAGGUUGACUACAGCAUUGCACUAGUCUACCCAUCCUUCAGUUCCUCAGAUCCCAGGUCCAGCUGACAAGAUCUGCACAGGUUGGCUGAAAAGUCAACGCAUAUGACGUGCUCUAUAACUUAACUGUGGGGCCCACAGCUCCAGUUUCCUGGAAGGUGACAAGAGAUGACGAAUAGGAUCAGAGCUGGUCAUCACAGUCAUUAUGGUUACUUCUUGAUGCCUCCUGUUCACUUUCCUUGGGGAAGCUGGCACCAAGUUGUAAGUCGCAGGGAGAGGGACAAAGGACAGGGACUGGCCUCCUGCCAGGAACCAACAGAGAACUGGCUGAAGACUUCUUCCCACAGCCAGGUAAGUGCAUCAACAGCCCCAGCCAAGCCCCAAGAGGAGAGCUGCUCAGCUGGACCACUCAGCUACUGGCCCUCUGAUAGCUCACGAAGUCAUGUUUGUUGGUUCUUAAGCAGCCAGAGCUUGGAUUUGUUAUUCAGAAAUUAUGACUAAUACAAGCUAAGAGGAAAACAAUCCUCUAGAUAAACAAGGACAGAAUUAAACAGGAAACAUUGCCGCCCUGCUAACUGUGUUUUAAUGCUAGCAAGAAUUUCACACCCUCUAAGAGAGUCACAAUGGAAUAGUUACCAUUUUAAAGCACUCUGAUACUUGUCAACCAAAGACAGAAGACAACUGACUGGAGAAGAUGAAUGUGGUUUUCUUCUCUGGUGCACUAAGGAACUUUUCGAUAGAGAUGCUCUCUACUUUGAAAAUUACUCACAGUUUGAGACCACCUCCACCAUCUGUUUUCCAUAAGGAAUCUAAAGUAGUCUGGAUUAUGAAACAGAUACAUAAAGAUUUUUAGAAAUUAAAAGUAAGCCAGGUGCAGUGGUACAUGCCUAUAAUCCCAUCACCCAGGAGACUGAAGCAAGGGCACCAGCUGAGUCCAGAGACAUUGCAGACCAGCCUAAGCAACACAGUAAGACCACCAGUCUCACCACUAACAAAUUAAAAACAGAAACUGCAAACAGCAAUCAAUGACAGCACAAAAAGAUGUGCAGCAAAUUAAAAUUUAGCACCACGAAGUCACAAGGAGAAAGAAACGGCAGCCCCGGCUGCCAGGAAUCAGUCUGUGGUUCUGCUGGCAGAAGCUUGGAUGCAUUCUUUAUAAGCCUCUCAGCUCACUUAGGUUAGUGACCUGCUUCCUUAGACUGUGACCUGCCUCUGCCAUCUCAGUGCUUCUGUUGGGAGCCAAGCACUGCUCAGUUUAAAGUCUGGAGAUGCCUUAAUGUGGGUAGAAAAAUGGCCUCAUGAAGGUUACCCUAGAAGGUGGGUAUGAGGUGACCAGGGCCCUCCUCUUGUACAAUUGCAAGUCACUGUUUAGGGAUUGCUUACAGUGCCCUAAAGUUAAGGUAUUUGGGGAAAGCAGUCUUGUGGGGUCAUUUCCAGUAGAAAAUGGAGCAACUUACAAAAUAAGAGUCAGUUAAAUCCGAAGGUUUCUUAGCCAUCGACUGGAAAUCCUCCUCCACAGCUAUAUGAGCCAGAAACACCAUAGCUCCCAGACCAGCAUUUUUGCUCCAUAAAUUCCCUCCUCCUCCUCCACCCAAAUCCUACCCAACCCACCCCCCACCCCCUGUUGCCUCAGCCUUCCUGGGGAGAACUACUAAGAUGUUAUGGGCAUUUGAAGAGUUAUUUGAGGUCUAGCUUCGUGACCAUCUGAGUGAUAAAUGUUUCUAAGAAAUAAAGUCUGCCUAAAACACCCAACUGAUCGGUUGUCUCCAACAAUUCAACAGCUACUGGCUUCUCACAGUGCCUGGAGGACUGGAAUCAGAGGCAUUGGAGAGAGGGCUAUGGAGAGAGAGGGUUCACACACAUUCAUCAACACACGACUGAGGCAAACGUGGAAAGACAGCACCUGGUGUUCCCUGCAGCCUGGUCCCUGCUUAAUUCUUGACGCAUUCUGCAGGCUGGGUGUCAGCAGCUGAAGGAUGGUCAGUCUGCGCUAGAAUUGGACCUGCUGUGAUGUUAAUGAAGAGCUGCUAGCAGGCCUGCUGGAAGGCAAUUUAGAUAUACAUAAUUAUGAUUUAAUCCCUCGCCCUGUGACAUCAAAAAGGUCUCUGCCCAAGUGCACACUGCCUGGUUUCGUGCAGCAAAGAGCACAGCUGCGCACUCCUGUUCCCUUUGUGUGUCGCGCUCACACUGGCCAUGAUAGCUUUAUUAACUGGUGUGACCCGACCUAGUUCUUCACACAGGGCACUAUCUCCUAAUCAAAACCACAAAGUGGCUGAGCGGCCUGUGAAAAGAAAUCAGGGGCUGCAUCUAAAAUGUCAGAUUAGCUGCUGUAGAUGGGGAAGACGUUGACAGGGAUGGAGAUGGUUGGAACAGUCCCAGCCCUCUUGUGGGAGCAGCGAGAGGUGAUGCUUUCAGCAGUCAGAGAUCAAAGGGUCCACAAGGCUGUCUUUUAGAAUGCAGUGCUAGCUCCUGGGAUGAGCGUCCUGGCAGAGAAUGGCCAUGUACACACAGCAGGUUCUAGGGUCAAGGAGAAUUCAUGUUGAAGCAAUGAUGCUUCCCAUCCUCUGGCCUCCAAGAAAGACUGGACACUGGCUGAGAACAUUAGAGGCCUCCCGGGGAAGGUCAGCUUUCCCUUCAGAAAACAGCAUCAGAAGCAUCAAAAUAUCUGAACCAGAUGCCAAGGCACCACCAAAACAAGCCAGACUUAGCCAUCCAUCUCAAUAUGCCAGUCAAAGAGAUGAAUGACGACAAAAAGCAAUGUGGAUGCUUUGGGGAAAGGACCCCAUGUCUUCUGAGAUGAGGUUUAGGGUGAAACAUGGGGAAGAGGUAUGCAUAACCAUGUAGUCCUGGUCAAGGCACAGUCCUGCCCAUCACUGAACCAACAUUUUCUCAAUUUCACACUAGCCUGCAAAUGGUCCAGUACAUUGCUACACGGCAACUGCAGCCCAAUAAAUGUUUGCGCUAUUAAUUGCUGAGGGUGCAGGCCCACUUUCUUGAGCAAUUGUCCUCGUCUGGAAGUAGAGGGAAUGUUCUGGGAGGUUUUCCUGGAAUUCAAGGUUACUUAAGAGGAAAGAUUAAGGACUACAAUUUAUCUCUGUGCGUUCAGCUAAAGCACAGACAAAAAAUACAAACAAAGAUGUCAUGCUGGGCUUUGAUCCUGCUUCAUUUACUUUGCAGGUCAGAGACAAUGCUUUUUAGCAAAAGCAGCUGCUUCUAGGUUCUUGUUUCAGUGAUUUCUGUUUUGAAAUGUGGAGGCAGUUUAAGGUCACAGGUGUGCGGGAGCAAUAGAGAUUAUGUUCAAGCUUCUGUGGAUAAAUGUAGAAAAGGGUCAGGGAUAUUUUCAGAAGUGCACGGCAUUUGAGCUUGGCCAAAGCAUGGUGCUGUGGGUUCAACUGCAUCUCCUAACCUAUGUGUACUGAAAUGUUAACCCCUUGAUACUCAAGACAUCUUUUAGGAAGGUCAGCUGAUGAGACUGACAAUCACCAUGGAAACACGCCACUGGGCAGUCUGUUAAUUGAGCUGGGAAGACCUACCCUGAAUGUGAGCCACAGUCUUCCAUGGGCUGCAGUCUGGGACUGAAUAAACAGGAGAAAGAGAGCUGAUCAAAAGCAGCCUCUAUCACCCUCUGCUUCCUGACUGCAGAAAACCAGCUGCCUCUUGCUCCAGCUGCCUCCUGCUCCUGCGGCCACGCCUUCCCAGCCGUUAUUGUAUCCUUACCUCACACAGAGCCAAAUAAACCUUCCUUCUUUACCUUG